AGACACUUGGAAGAGGAGACACCAAGAUCAAAAAGAUGGUUUUCCCAGGGCAAGCCUUAGCCAUUGCACUCCAGAUGUGCAGACACUGCGGUUCCCGCAAUCGCCAGAAACUCAACUUUAUAAUUUGUGGUAGGGGGGAAGUGUGAUUGUCUCUCCCCUG
ensembl:snRNA U1 U1 spliceosomal RNA